rnacentral:lncRNA from 8 species
GUACCACAGUCUGUGCACUGAAGCUUUUUUAAAGAAUCUUCCAGUGAGGAGGCAGUUUUACGCCAAUGUGAAAAAGUACAAGGAGGAGCAGAAGAAAGUGCAGGACCUUCUCAUAGCGUAUGCCACUGUAAAACCAGAGCUGAGACUCACCCUCACUCACAGUAAGGUGGUGGUGUGGCAGAAGGCCAAGGUGUCCGAUCACAGGAUUGCUCUCAUGGCUAUGCUGUGGGCCAACGCUGUGGCCCACCUGCUUUUUAGUCCACCAUCAACAAGAACAACCAGAGGUGGUCCGGCAGCACUACCUGGCUCAGUACCCGGCAGACUCUGCCCGCAGCCGUUAUCCCACUAUGAUGCUCAACAUCACUGUUCCCGCAUCCACUGUAGACGUCAACCUGACCCCCAAGAAGACCCAGAUUCUGCACCAGAACAAGAAUUGGCUGUAGGGCAAACUAUUUUUCAAGGGAAGUGGGUGACAACUAUCAGCCCUCAACAAACUGUUACGAUCAGUAGGUUUCCUGUAAAGAUCAGUGUAAGCCCUGGUUCGGGGUCUCCUGCUGAGGUGCCACCAGUCACUGUAGAAGAUGCCUACAGUUGCCCAUUAUCACUGGGCAACUGUAGGGGAAACGCUGACGUAGAGGACAGUCUUAUGGAGCACAGUGUCACGGUGGACAAAGCGCCAUUUGGCUACAGUGAUGGCUCUCCAUCCAGGGUAGUGGCUGGUGACCAGACAGUAAACACUAGCUCCUCCUCUUCCUCUGAAGACUGGAUAGUCAACCAAAUCCCAGGGGACUUUGACUUUUUUACUACUGGAAGAUGAAAUUGCUUUGACCUGCAGCGAGAUAACAAAUCCAGGCCCAGCUAAAGGCCUGGAGAGGCUCAACAGCCAUGACCAACAUCCUGACAAAGACGUUGAGCAGUUAUCAGCAGUGAGUUGGAGCCGAGGCACGGCUCUGACAGACCCCUCCACAGGAGAGCCACUGCAGUCCGUCAAGGUCCACCUGCCCACCGGAUGCAGCAGUGACCUGGGCCUGGUCGAGGCCAAGGAUCAGAGCAGCCCUGGCAAAAAGGUGUCCAACGCUAUAACAGAGAAACGUGCGUCACUGACGGCCUACAACCUGAUCAGUAGCCGUACCAUGAGGACCCCCCUGUCCCCCGCUGCCUGUUUGAGAGGGAGACCCGGGCAGAGGUUCUCCAGGAGAAGCCCGCAGCAAGCCUCCAGGACAUCACCUCUGCCGUGCAGGAGAGAUGGAAAAACCUGGGGGAGGAGGACCGAAAGAA